rnacentral:lncRNA from 1 species
UUAUUAUCAUUAGUCCAAACUUCCAAGAUCUCAUCAUUAUUAGUAUAAUUAACUAACUUUCAAAAAUCUAUUUAUUAUUAUUAUCAUCAUUAAUCCAAACUUUCAAAAAUCUCAUUAUUAUUGUUAUUACUACCUCAACUUUCAAAAAUCUCAUUAUUAUUAUUAUUAUUGACUCAACUUUCAAAAUCUUAUUAUUAUUAUUAUUAUUAUUAAUUCAAACUUUCAAAACCUUAUUAUUAUUAUUAAUUCAAACUUUCUAACUUCCAAUUUCCAAGCCCAAUUUAUAAAAAUUCAACCUUCAAAUAAUAUUUCAAAAUUCCGAUCUUUAAAAUUCAAUUCCAAUUUCCGAAAAUUCUCAUACUCACUUUAAUCUAUUUAAUUAUUAUUAUUUUAUGUAUUAUAAAAUUCCACUUUAAACAAUUCUUUAAAAUUUCCAACUUUCAAAUUUAAUUUCUAAUUCCAAAAUUCCAAUAUUCACAUUAAUCUAUUUAAUUAUUGUUAUUUUGAUUAUUUAUUUCAAAACUCCAUUUUAAAUCAAAUUCUCUAAAACUUCUAAUUUCCGAAUUAAAUUCCUAAUCCCAAAAAUUCUCAUGUUCCCACUAAAUUAUUUGAUCAUUAGUAUUUUAUUUAUUUAUUUAUUUCAAAACUCCGUUUUAAAUCAAAUUCUUUAAAAUCGCUGAUUUCCAAAUUAAAUUCCUAAUCCCGAAAAUUCUCAUAUUCUCAUUAAUUUAUUUAAUCAUUAGUAUUUUAUCUCCACAUUGAUGAGAACGUUAUAUAAAAAGGAUCCAUGUAUAUUGCAUAUAUUAACUAGUAAAGAAAACUUAAAAAAUAAUUCAAAUAAUUUUCAUUUCCCUACUUUACCUUUUUACCCCUUUUUACCCCCUAAGGGUAAGAAAAAUACAUAAUAAAAUGAAAGCAAAAAAUUUAACAGAAAAUGCUUACUUUCUUAUUGAUUGCUGAUGAAUUUACAAGGCUGAAGAUGGAGUUUCUUUUUACAGACAACUUUGCACACUAUUGCACACACUUUCUCUCGGGCACACUUCUUUUCUUUUACUACCACUAAUUUAUAGGCAAAGCAUUUACAAGUGACAGGUGAGAAUACAGGUGAGAAUUAAUUUCAAGUGGUUGGAUGGUAGGAAAAAUAUUUACGGUGUUCAGAGGUUUGGUAUAAAAUAAAUACAAAGACUUUUGACUUUUGAGACAUGUGACUUUUAUUCAUCCGUUCUUCUCUUCCUUCUUGUCUCUUUCUCUUGUCCUUUUCUUCUCUUUUUAUUACAUGCAUAAUACGUGGCUUGUGGAUGUCUUUACUGCUUCUGGAGUUGUACUGCCAUAUUUAAUUUGUGUAGUUGAAGACGCAUUUACUGCUUCAAUAUCGUCAUUGCUGACAUCAUCCUUCCAUUGCAUUUUGUAGAUUAUGAUAACUUUCAUCGUCCAGGUUGUCCCAAAAUAAUGCGUCAUCGCUGAGGUAGGAAGAUGGUUCCGGUAUAUCUACACUGAGUUCGGUUAUAAAAUCCUGUUCUUCAGAAGUAAUAAAAGGGUUUGGAACAAUGAUGUGUUCUAAAGGUUUUACUCUCCAUAUAGACAUGGUUUUUGUUUCGCCAAUAAUUUAUUCCGGGUUGGUCUAAGAUCAUAGAUUUGAAAAGCUCUAAAGCGAGUAAAAAAUUCUGGAAAUUCGUUUGAACGGGUCAUUUCCCAUUCUGGUUCUUGUUGAGGGAUGAGUGGUUCUUUAUUAUGUUUUAUAUAUACAUGAUGAUAGGCUGGUACUACUGAUCCAUCGGGUUGAAAUAAAGGUGGAAUGGUUUCAAAAGAAAUAUCUAUAUAUUUUUCGGUUUUAAAAAGAUAGGUUAAAAUAUCUUUCAAUUUUUCUGGGAAAUUUUCAGGAAUUUGAGAUAUAUGGUUCAUAAAAACAUUUUUUAAAAUUCCCUGAUCCAUAAGUUGCGGUACUAAAUCAAAAUUUUCUUUAUUUACAACAGACAUAUUUACAUAAGCUAGAUAUAUAACAAAGAAAAAUUCAGGGUCGUGAUAUGCCAUAUACCCUGUUUUUAUCCCGACAUUUUUAGUUCUAAAAUGUUUAUACAAAAGUUCUUGAUUUUUAAACACUUUGUUAUAUUGGUUUUGUAGAAAAAAGGUUUUGACGAAAGAGUAGUUAUCAACUCCAAUUAUAUUUUUAACAACAAGCCUUUCAUAUUGUUCAGUCAGAAGAGCUGAUUUCUUAAUUAAACUAAUUACUUCAGGAUGACUGUUUGAACAGCUGGUUUGAUUGGUUGACACUGUACUGGUUUUCAAAUCUUCUAUCAGUUUUUCUUGAUUUUCUUGGAUUUUGAGGUUUUGGAAUUUUUGGGUUUCUNNNNNNNNNNNNNNNNNNNNNNNNNNNNNNNNNNNNNNNNNNNNNNNNNNNNNNNNNNNNNNNNNNNNNNNNNNNNNNNNNNNNNNNNNNNNNNNNNNNNUAUGAUAACUUUCAUCGUCCAGGUUGUCCCAAAAUAAUGCGUCAUCGCUGAGGUAGGAAGAUGGUUCCGGUGUAUCUACACUGAGUUCGGUUAUAAAAUCCUGUUCUUCAGAAGUAAUAAAAGGGUUUGGAACAAUAAUGUGUUCUAAAGGUUUUACUCUCCAUAUAGACAUGGUUUUUGUUUCGCCAAUGAGAUGAAAUAAUUUAUUCCGGGUUGGUCUAAGAUCAUAGAUUUGAAAAGCUCUAAAGCGAGUAAAAAAUUCUGGAAAUUCGUUUGAACGGGUCAUUUCCCAUUCUGGUUCUUGUUGAGGGAUGAGUGGUUCUUUAUUAUGUUUUAUAUAUACAUGAUGAUAGGCUGGUACUACUGAUCCAUCGGGUUGAAAUAAAGGUGGAAUGGUUUCAAAAGAAAUAUCUAUAUAUUUUUCGGUUUUAAAAAGAUAGGUUAAAAUAUCUUUCAAUUUUUCUGGGAAAUUUUCAGGGAUUUGAGAUAUAUGGUUCAUAAAAACAUUUUUUAAAAUUCCCUGAUCCAUAAGUUGCGGUACUAAAUGAAAAUUUUCUUUAUUUACAACAGACAUAUUUACAUAAGCUAAAUAUAUAACAAAGAAAAAUUCAGGGUCGUGAUAUGCCAUAUACCCUGUUUUUAUACCGGUAUUUUUAGUUCUAAAAUGUUUAUACAAAAGUUCUUGAUUUUUAAACACUUUGUUAUAUUGGUUUUGUAGAAAAAAGGUUUUGACGAAAGAGUAGUUAUCAACUCCAAUUAUAUUUUUAACAACAAGCCUUUCAUAUUGUUCAGUCAGAAGAGCUGAUUUCUUAAUUAAACUAAUUACUUCAGGAUGAC